rnacentral:rRNA from 1 species
UACGAGGGGGGCGAGCGUUGUUCGGAAUUAUUGGGCGUAAAGGGUGCGUAGGCGGUUUGAUAAGUCUGAUGUGAAAUCUAUGGGCUCAACCCAUAGUCUGCAUUAGAAACUGUCGGGCUUGAGUAUGGGAGAGGUGAGUGGAAUUUCCGGUGUAGCGGUGAAAUGCGUAGAUAUCAGGAGGAACACCUGUGGCGAAAGCGGCUCACUGGACCAUAACUGACGCUGAUGCACGAAAGCUAGGGGAGCAAACAGG